rnacentral:rRNA from 1 species
UACGAAGGGGGGCUAGCGUUGUUCGGAAUUACUGGGCGUAAAGCGCACGUAGGCGGAUCGAUCAGUCAGGGGUGAAAUCCCAGAGCUCAACUCUGGAACUGCCUUUGAUACUGUCGAUCUAGAGUAUGGAAGAGGUGAGUGGAAUUCCGAGUGUAGAGGUGAAAUUCGUAGAUAUUCGGAGGAACACCAGUGGCGAAGGCGGCUCACUGGUCCAUUACUGACGCUGAGGUGCGAAAGCGUGGGGAGACAA